rnacentral:rRNA from 1 species
CCUACGGGAGGCAGCAGUGGGGAAUAUUGGACAAUGGGCGAAACCUGAUCCAGCCAUGCCGCGUGUGUGAAGAGGUCUUCGGAUUGUAAGCACUUUAAGUUGGGAGGCGUUACCGACAGAAUAAGCACCGGCUAACUCUGUGCCAGCAGCCGCGGUAAUACAGAGGGUGCAAGCGUUAAUCGGAAUUACUGGGCGUAAAGCGCGCGUAGGUGGUUUGUUAAGUUGAAUGUGAAAUCCCCGGGCUCAACCUGGGAACUGCAUCCAAAACUGGCAAGCUAGAGUAUGGUAGAGGGUAGUGGAAUUUCCUGUGUAGCGGUGAAAUGCGUAGAUAUAGGAAGGAACACCAGUGGCGAAGGCGACUACCUGGACUGAACUGACACUGAGGUGCGAAAGCGUGGGGAGCAAACAGGAUUAGAUACCCUUGUAGUC